rnacentral:rRNA from 1 species
ACGUAGGCAGCAAGCGUUGUUCGGAGUUACUGGGCGUAAAGGGUGUGUAGGCGGUUCCCUAAGUUUGGUGUGAAAUCUCCCGGCUCAACUGGGAGGGUGCGCCGAAAACUGGGGGGCUAGAGUACUGGAUGGGAGAGUGGAAUUCCUGGUGUAGCGGUGAAAUGCGUAGAUAUCAGGAGGAACACCUGUGGUGUAGACGGCUCUCUGGACAGUAACUGACGCUGAGACACGAAAGCGUGGGUAGCAAACAGGA